UGGGGAAUAUUGGGCAAUGGGCGAAAGCCUGACCCAGCCACGCCGCGUGAGUGAUGAAGGCCUUCGGGUCGUAAAGCUCUGUGGGGAGGGACGAACAAAUCUGGGGCUAAUCACCCGGAUCCUGACGGUACCUCCUUAGCAAGCACCGGCUAACCCUGUGCCAGCAGCCGCGGUAAUACAGGGGGUGCAAACGUUGCUCGGAAUCAUUGGGCGUAAAGCGCACGUAGGCGGUUCGUUAUGUCGGAUGUGAAAGCCCUUGGCUUAACCGAGGAAGUGCAUCCGAAACUGGCGAGCUAGAGUACUAAAGAGGAUCGCGGAAUUCCCGGUGUAGAGGUGAAAUUCGUAGAUAUCGGGAGGAACACCGGUGGCGAAGGCGGCGAUCUGGGUAGAUACUGACGCUGAGGUGCGAAAGCGUGGGGAGCAAACA
rnacentral:rRNA from 1 species